AGGAGCUGGCUACCUCCAGUUCUCUUUCUUUGUCAUCUCUUCCUAGAGAAGGGACUGGAGAGGUGGAUUAAGACGAUUAAGAAUAUAUGUGCACCAAGAAGACAUGGACAAGAAGAUUAAUGGGAACUGUAUUUGCUCGGAGAAUGUGAGGAAGUAAAAUCUACAUUUGAAGCAGCCAGAACAUAAUGUGGAAACAACCUCAAACGUUCAUUAACAACAACAACAACAAAAAAAAUGGGCGAAUCACAGCAAAAGUAUACAAUUGUGUCUUAUGCAGCAUUAAAAGCAAAUAAGCCCCUGUUGCAUGCAA